ACGAACGCUGGCGGCGUGGAUAAGACAUGCAAGUCGAACGAGAGAAUUGCUAGCUUGCUAAUAAUUCUCUAGUGGCGCACGGGUGAGUAACACGUGAGUAACCUGCCCCCGAGAGCGGGAUAGCCCUGGGAAACUGGGAUUAAUACCGCAUAGUAUCGAAAGAUUAAAGCAGCAAUGCGCUUGGGGAUGGGCUCGCGGCCUAUUAGUUAGUUGGUGAGGUAACGGCUCACCAAGGCGAUGACGGGUAGCCGGUCUGAGAGGAUGUCCGGCCACACUGGAACUGAGACACGGUCCAGACACCUACGGGUGGCAGCAGUCGAGAAUCAUUCACAAUGGGGGAAACCCUGAUGGUGUGACGCCGCGUGGGGGAAUGAAGGUCUUCGGAUUGUAAACCCCUGUCAUGUGGGAGCAAAUUAAAAAGAUAGUACCACAAGAGGAAGAGACGGCUAACUCUGUGCCAGCAGCCGCGGUAAUACAGAGGUCUCAAGCGUUGUUCGGAAUCACUGGGCGUAAAGCGUGCGUAGGCUGUUUCGUAAGUCGUGUGUGAAAGGCGCGGGCUCAACCCGCGGACGGCACAUGAUACUGCGAGACUAGAGUAAUGGAGGGGGAACCGGAAUUCUCGGUGUAGCAGUGAAAUGCGUAGAUAUCGAGAGGAACACUCGUGGCGAAGGCGGGUUCCUGGACAUUAACUGACGCUGAGGCACGAAGGCCAGGGGAGCGAAAGGGAUUAGAUACCCCUGUAGUCCUGGCAGUAAACGGUGCACGCUUGGUGUGCGGGGAAUCGACCCCCUGCGUGCCGGAGCUAACGCGUUAAGCGUGCCGCCUGGGGAGUACGGUCGCAAGAUUAAAACUCAAAGAAAUUGACGGGGACCCGCACAAGCGGUGGAGUAUGUGGCUUAAUUCGAUGCAACGCGAAGAACCUUACCUGGGCUUGACAUGUAAUGAACAACAUGUGAAAGCAUGCGACUCUUCGGAGGCGUUACACAGGUGCUGCAUGGCCGUCGUCAGCUCGUGUCGUGAGAUGUUUGGUUAAGUCCAGCAACGAGCGCAACCCCUGUUGCCAGUUACCAGCACGUGAAGGUGGGGACUCUGGCGAGACUGCCCAGAUCAACUGGGAGGAAGGUGGGGACGACGUCAGGUCAGUAUGGCCCUUAUGCCCAGGGCUGCACACGUACUACAAUGCCCAGUACAGAGGGGGCCGAAGCCGCGAGGCGGAGGAAAUCCUGAAAACUGGGCCCAGUUCGGACUGUAGGCUGCAACCCGCCUACACGAAGCCGGAAUCGCUAGUAAUGGCGCAUCAGCUACGGCGCCGUGAAUACGUUCCCGGGUCUUGUACACACCGCCAGUCACAUCAUGGAAGCCGGUCGCACCCGAAGUAUCUGAAGCCAACCGCAAGGAGGCAGGGUCCUAAGGUGAGACUGGUAACUGGGAUG
rnacentral:rRNA from 1 species